rnacentral:rRNA from 1 species
AGAGGUAAGAGGUACUACAGGGGUAGGAGUGGAAAUCUUGUAAUCCCUGUGGGACCACCUGUGGCGAAAGCGUCUUACCAGAACGGGUUCGACGGUGAGGGACGAAAGCUGGGGGGCACGAACCGGAUUAGAUACCCGGGUAGUCCCAGCCGUAAACGAUGCUCGGCUAGGUGUCCAGGCAUGGCGCGACCGUGUCUGGUGCCGCAGGGAAGCCGUGAAGCGAGCCACCUGGGAAGUACGGCCGCAAGGCUGAAACUUAAAGGAAUUGGCGGGGAGCACAACAACGGGUGGGAAGCCUGCGGUUUAAUUGGACUCAACGCCGGACAACUCACCGGGGGCGACAGCAAUAUGUAGGCCAAGCUGAAGACUUUGCCUGAACUCGCUGAGUAGAGGUGCAUGG